AUUGAACGCUGGCGGCAGGCCUAACACAUGCAAGUCGAACGAGUGGCGGACGGGUGAGUAAUGUCUGGGAAACUGCCCGAUGGAGGGGGAUAACUACUGGAAACGGUAGCUAAUACCGCAUACCAUCGGAUGUGCCCAGAUGGGAUUAGCUAGUAGGUGGGGUAACGGCUCACCUAGGCGACGAUCCCUAGCUGGUCUGAGAGGGUGACCAGCCACACUGGAACUGUGGCACGGGCCAAGCUCCUACGGGGGGCAGCAGGGGGGAAGAUUGCACAAAGGGGGCAAGCCUUGUGCAGCCAUUCCGGGGGUAUGAAGAAGGCCUUCGGGUUUUAAAGUACUUUCAGCGAGGGGGCGUUUCUCGCAGGAGAAGCACCGGCUAACUCCGUGCCAGCAGCCGCGGUAAUUC
rnacentral:rRNA from 1 species